GAGAAGGAGCGGAGCGGCGGGUGGCCCGCCUGGGGGGAACCCACGUCCAGGCUCCAGCUCGACCUCGUGGGGAGGGACGCUCCCCAGCGCGGCGCGCGGCUCAGCGCGGCGUAGACGUCCACCCUGCCGCAGCCUUCGGGGCCUGGCAGGGGGCAUCCCGCGUUUCCUCCGAGCUCCUGAGACGUGAACUCGCCCCCACGCGUCCUUACUUCCUUGAAUGUCCGCCGCUCAGGUCGAAUUGGUUGACAGAAACUUUUUUUCUUCAAAAUCUGCCCAAGACGGGCAUAGAAAAUUCCCAAGAAAACGUGUCCUUCCCGAGGAGGCACCCGGGUGUGAAUUCCAGCGGAGGGGACGGCUUUGAAUUUGGUUUUCUCAGACGGCAGUCCAGCAAGAAAGGUGCCCGAAUGGAAAACGCCCUGUGAAAUAAGAGCUAAGGGACCCGAACAGAACCUCUGUCCAAAAGCACUUGCCCUGAAAUUGCGUAUUGAAAGAAGUACAUUCCGAAAAGAAACGAAGAGACCGAGGAGAGCAGACUCUUGAGAAGAGGAAAGUCAAGCCUACAGGACCGCACCCGAAGUAUAUGAGGCGUGGGGUCCAAUUGGAGCUGUAGCCGCCAGCCUACACCACAGCCUCAGCAACGCCAGAUCCAUCCGAGCCAUGUCUGCGACCUACACCACAGCUCAGGGCAACGCCAGAUCCUUAACCCACUGAGCGACGCCAGGGAUUGAACCCUGCAUCCACAUGGAUGCUAGUCAGGUUGUUUCCACUGAGCCAUGACGGGAACUCCAAUUCUAGUUUUAGAAAUAGAGUUUUUACUUGAGAUUCAGACCAACUUAGAAUGCUAUUCACUUGAGAUUCAGACUAACUUAGAAUGCUAUUCAUUUCAAUGCUUUUUAGAAUUAUGAAAAUCAGAAACACGCUAACACUUAAUCACUAUUGGGAAUGAUUAGGUACAUCUGGUAUUUUCAUAGGACAGAAUAUCGUAUAGUCAUCAACAGUCUUAUUUUCAAAAGAAAUGAAGGAAUAAAGGUCAAGCCAACUGUGUCUGCCAUUUCCAUUCCUCUAAGAGGUUCCUUGUUCAUAAAUUAUCUUAUGGUACUACACGACCCGUCUCCCUUUUUGCAGCAGUUUGUUCUCCUGGGAAGGACGCUAGAACCAAGGUCUACAGAUCCAUAACAAGUUUGUUAAAUCUCUAUCCAGACACAGCAAGGAGAAAGAAGGGUUGAGGUGGAUUGAAUAAUGGUUUAAAAGUACAUUGAUUGAGUAGGCAAUCAGUGGACACUAGGCAGAAGAGCCACAAGGCAGCAGAAGUCAUAAAUAACCAGAGGACAUAGGGAGUAGCAGCUGAGUAACAGAGAAGUAGUAGUAGCAGGGGUCUUAAGAUUCUGAGUAGAACUGCAUGGAUUCUGGCAGCCUCCAAAAAUAACUAUAAAAGAAAAAAAGCAAAAUGCAAAGAUGUAUAUACUGUAUUUUAAAAUUUGUACAAAUUAUUCAUAUUCAACAUUUGGAAGGAAUACAUCAAUGUCUUAAUAAUGGUGGUGAGAUUACAAUGAUUUUUAUUUUUCUAUAUGAUUAUAAUUUUUUAAAACUUAGAAUUAAACAGAAUGAAGACCACCGUAGUCAAAAAUUCUAAUCAGAAAAUAGAUUGCAUGUGGUCAAAGUGACUAGCAGACAGAAUUUUCAGAGAGAAAAUUUUCUGAGAUCAUAACUUCAAGGGAAAGGUAGCUGGGUCUUUUAAGGACUAAAAUAAUUUGACUGAAUGAGGAGAAGGUGGUGAAAUGAGAAGAUGAAGCAAAGGCAAGCUGAGUAAGGCAUUAGCAAAGGAUGUCCUAUACAAAGUGUCUUUGAUACAAAGGUGUAAACUAGGGAGAGGUGCUGGGUAGGAAGGGGGAACUGGAGAUAAAUUAUCUGGAAGUCAUUGUUCAUUAGGUCAAUAAUGAAAAAGUAGUAACAGGAUGAUUUGAGCAUAGCCUAUUCUUUAUUGUCAUCACUACUUAUUCAACUUUGGAAAUUCCCUGUUUCCAUUUUAUUCCAGGUGUUAACAACCUAGGCCUAAAUUGUGGCGUGUCUAGCUUGUUUCCUGAGCUCCAGGACCUCUCUAUUGCAAUCUCAUGUUACAUAGCUGUCAUAAAAUCAUUCUUCUCUUGUAAUUUACCUAUUUGUUUUUUACUCACUGCAUCAAAUCUGAGCUUCAUGUAUAACAACAACAGAAAUCUCUGUCCCUUCCCACUUUGAUCAGCUGACUUCCCCGGACUUACCUUUUAUACCCUCAAAUUCAUUCGUCCUCCAGAUCGGCCUUUUGACUGCUAGGAAGUCGGUUUCCUUAGAGUCUCCCACAGUUCAGGCACUUCCCACCUUUAAAUCAGGGCAGAUGUUUAUCUCCUAACAAGGCCCUUCACCUU
rnacentral:lncRNA from 1 species